rnacentral:rRNA from 1 species
AGUCGAGGGGUAUUUAUCUUCGGAUAGAGAGACCGGCGCACGGGUGCGUAACGCGUAUGCAAUCUACCUUUUACAGAGGGAUAGCCCAGAGAAAUUUGGAUUAAUACCUCAUAGUAUUAUGAAAUGGCAUCAUUUUAUAAUUAAAGUCACAACGGUAAAAGAUGAGCAUGCGUCCCAUUAGCUAGUUGGUAAGGUAACGGCUUACCAAGGCUACGAUGGGUAGGGGUCCUGAGAGGGAGAUCCCCCACACUGGUACUGAGACACGGACCAGACUCCUACGGGAGGCAGCAGUGAGGAAUAUUGGACAAUGGGCGCAAGCCUGAUCCAGCCAUGCCGCGUGCAGGAUGACGGUCCUAUGGAUUGUAAACUGCUUUUAUACGAGAAGAAACACUCCGACGUGUCGGAGCUUGACGGUAUCGUAAGAAUAAGGAUCGGCUAACUCCGUGCCAGCAGCCGCGGUAAUACGGAGGAUCCAAGCGUUAUCCGGAAUCAUUGGGUUUAAAGGGUCCGUAGGCGGUUUAAUAAGUCAGUGGUGAAAGCCCAUCGCUCAACGGUGGAACGGCCAUUGAUACUGUUAAACUUGAAUUAUUAGGAAGUAACUAGAAUAUGUAGUGUAGCGGUGAAAUGCUUAGAGAUUACAUGGAAUACCAAUUGCGAAGGCAGGUUACUACUAAUGGAUUGACGCUGAUGGACGAAAGCGUGGGUAGCGAACAGGAUUAGAUACCCUGGUAGUCCACGCCGUAAACGAUGGAUACUAGCUGUUGGGAGCAAUCUCAGUGGCUAAGCGAAAGUGAUAAGUAUCCCACCUGGGGAGUACGUUCGCAAGAAUGAAACUCAAAGGAAUUGACGGGGGCCCGCACAAGCGGUGGAGCAUGUGGUU